AUACGGAGGAUCCGAGCGUUAUCCGGAUUUAUUGGGUUUAAAGGGUGCGUAGGCGGCCUUUUAAGUCAGCGGUGAAAGUCUGUGGCUCAACCAUAGAAUUGCCGUUGAAACUGGGGGGCUUGAGUAUGUUUGAGGCAGGCGGAAUGGGUGGUGUAGCGGUGAAAUGCAUAGAUAUCACGCAGAACCCCGAUUGCGAAGGCAGCCUGCCAAGCCAUGACUGACGCUGAUGCACGAAAGCGUGGGGAUCAAACAGGAUUAGAUACCCUGGUAGUCCACGCAGUAAACGAUGAUCACUAGCUGUUUGCGAUACACUGUAAGCGGCACAGCGAAAGCGUUAAGUGAUCCACCUGGGGAGUACGCCGGCAACGGUGAAACUCAAAUGAAUCGACGGGG
rnacentral:rRNA from 1 species